GAUGAACGCUGGCGGCGUGCCUAAUACAUGCAAGUCGAGCGAAUGGAUUGAGAGCUUGCUCUUAUGAAGUUAGCGGCGGACGGGUGAGUAACACGUGGGUAACCUGCCCAUAAGACUGGGAUAACUCCGGGAAACCGGGGCUAAUACCGGAUAACAUUUUGAACCGCAUGGUUCGAAAUUGAAAGGCGGCUUCGGCGGUCACUUAUGGAUGGACCAGCGUCGCAUUAGCUAGUUGGUGAGGUAACGGCUCACCAAGGCAACGAUGCGUAGCCGACCUGAGAGGGUGAUCGGCCACACUGGGACUGAGACACGGCCCAGACUCCUACGGGAGGCAGCAGUAGGGAAUCUUCCGCAAUGGACGAAAGUCUGACGGAGCAACGCCGCGUGAGUGAUGAAGGCUUUCGGGUCGUAAAACUCUGUUGUUAGGGAAGAACAAGUGCUAGUUGAAUAAGCUGGCACCUUGACGGUACCUAACCAGAAAGCCACGGCUAACUACGUGCCAGCCGCCGCAGUAA
rnacentral:rRNA from 1 species